AAGGGUUUAGGCUAACUAGACCAAGAGCCUUCAAAGCCCUAAGUGGGGGUGAAAAUCCCCCAACCCUUG
rnacentral:tRNA from 1 species